rnacentral:rRNA from 1 species
ACAGCAGUCGCCGCGGGAAUACGAAGGGUGCAAGCGUUACUCGGAAUUACUGGGCGUAAAGCGUGUGUAGGUGGUUGUUUAAGUCUGUCGUGAAAGCCCUGGGCUCAACCUGGGAAUUGCGAUGGAUACUGGGCGACUAGAGUGCGGUAGAGGAUAGUGGAAUUUCCGGUGUAGCAGUGAAAUGCGUAGAGAUCGGAAGGAACAUCUGUGGCGAAGGCGACUAUCUGGGCCAACACUGACACUGAGACACGAAAGCGUGGGGAGCAAACAGGAUUAGAUACCCGCGUAGUCCCUGUCUCUUAUAC